rnacentral:lncRNA from 1 species
CAACUUCUUUGUGAACUAUUGAGAUUUUUUUGUUACUAUAUGUUGUGCAGAAUGAGGGGAAAAAAGGGGAAAGUGAAAUCCAAAAAUAAUUGAGUAAAAACAAAGAGAAACUCUUGGGAAGAAGAGGAAAAGUUUUGUUUACUCAUUGGAAGCAGAAGUAAGUUUGAGUAGCAGUUUUGAUUUUUGGGUUUUUUGGGAAGAAGAAGCAGAUUUGACGUUUGAGAAGAAGCAGGUUCUGUAUUUUUUGGGAAGAAAAAAAAGCAAUUAUCAGUGAACUUUGAUUUUCUAGAUUUAUGGGAAAAGGAAAGAAUUAUAUUUAUAAUUGGAUCUUAUUAUGUCUUCAAAAAAAAAAUUGGAUCAUAUUAUAUAAUUAUAUAUUUAUAUUAAUAAAUUUUUUAAUUUCUUUUCUUUUAAAAAAAUAAUUAUUAAAUUAUGUGACACAAAUUAUUUUCAUAAAAAAUGAAUGAAAAGCCACAUAGGCGUGCUACAUCAUCAAUUUUGUCAAGUCAGCGUCCAACNNNNNNNNCUAGGUGUCUAUUGGGGGGUAAAUGAUGGAAUCUUGAUAUUACAAGGGGGUAAUCACAAAAAAUAAUUUUGCAGGGGGGUAAAGCAAAUUUCACGUAUUUUGCAAGGGGGUAAAACCCUAUUUACCC